rnacentral:misc_RNA from 1 species
UCUCCGUUGGUGAACCAGCGGAGGGAUCAUUAUAGAGUUUUUAACUCCCAAACCAUUGUGAACUUACCACUGUUGCCUCGGCGGAAGCUACCCGGUACCUACCCUGUAACGUCCUGCCGGUGGACCUUUAAACUCUUGUUAUUUUAUAGUAAUCUGAGCGUCUUAUUUUAAUAAGUCAAAACUUUCAACAACGGAUCUCUUGGUUCUGGCAUCGAUGAAGAACGCAGC